GACGAACGCUGGCGGCGCGCCUAACACAUGCAAGUCGAACGAGCGAGAGAGAGCUUGCUUUCUCGAGCGAGUGGCGAACGGGUGAGUAACGCGUGAGGAACCUGCCUCAAAGAGGGGGACAACAGUUGGAAACGACUGCUAAUACCGCAUAAGCCCACGACCCGGCAUCGGGUCGAGGGAAAAGGAGCAAUCCGCUUUGAGAUGGCCUCGCGUCCGAUUAGCUAGUUGGUGAGGUAACGGCCCACCAAGGCGACGAUCGGUAGCCGGACUGAGAGGUUGAACGGCCACAUUGGGACUGAGACACGGCCCAGACUCCUACGGGAGGCAGCAGUGGGGAAUAUUGCACAAUGGGGGAAACCCUGAUGCAGCGACGCCGCGUGGAGGAAGAAGGUCUUCGGAUUGUAAACUCCUGUUGUUGAGGAAGAUAAUGACGGUACUCAACAAGGAAGUGACGGCUAACUACGUG
rnacentral:rRNA from 1 species